CCAGCAAUGCCGCGUGUAGUGAUGAAGGCCUUCGGGUUGUAAACUACUUUUGUACGGAACGAAAAGCUCUCUUCUAAUAAAGGAGAGUGAUGACGGUACCGUAAGAAUAAGCACCGGCUAACUACGUGCCAGCAGCCGCGGUAAUACGUAGGGUGCGAGCGUUAAUCGGAAUUACUGGGCGUAAAGCGUGCGCAGGCGGUUAUGUAAGACAGAGGUGAAAUCCCCGGGCUCAACCUGGGAACGGCCUUGGUGACUGCGUAACUGGAGUACGGUAGAGGGGGAUGGAAUUCCGCGUGUAGCAGUGAAAUGCGUAGAUAUGCGGAGGAACACCGAUGGCGAAGGCAAUCCCCUGGACCUGUACUGACGCUCAUGCACGAAAGCGUGGGGAGCAAACAGGAUUAGAUACCCUGGUAGUCCACGCCCUAAACGAUGUCAACUGGUUGUUGGGAAUUAACUUUCUCAGUAACGAAGCUAACGCGUGAAGUUGACCGCCUGGGGAGUACGGCCGCAAGGUUGAAACUCACAGGAAUUGACGGGGACCCGCACAAGCGGUGGAUGAUGUGGUUUAAUUCCAUGCAACGCGAAAAACCUUACCCACCUUUGACAUGUACAGAAGUGAC
rnacentral:rRNA from 1 species